UUAGAGAGCAGCCUCCUUUUCUGCUAUAAGAGCACUGGGAAAAAACCUGAUGUGUUCUUAUUGCCAGUAUCAUGAGUUGAAAAUGGACAUGAAACACCUGAACAACUUUUCUGGGCAACAACAAAUGGUUUGAUUGUUCCCCCUUUUUUCUUGUUUCAUUCUCAGGUUCCUCUUCAUGCAGCAGGUAUUGGAAAUUAAACCAACCAUAUUCAGUGGUCACAGACUUCCCCAAGACCAAAAAGGGAAUGAGGGACUGCAAGAAUAAGGAGCAAGAGGGAGCAGAAUUUAUGAAAUAGUUGUGAAAUUGGCAAAGUGGGAAAAAAGGCUAUUACAUUAAUUACCGGAGUGAGCAGAUAUGAUUCAGGUGCACAGAAACUACUUACAAAACAGAGCAGCAUUCUUAAAGUUGAUUAGAGCAAAGUGGCAUUUGCUCAGAAAGGACGAAGAGUUCUUACCAUCAUACAAUUUUCAUUCAGCAUUAUGCAAAAAUACUGAUGGCUGCCUUCACAAAGUCAAGCUGUGAAACUAAACUCUGCCAUGCAGUACUUACUUGUACGAUCGUAGGAUUCAUGGCAAGUCCUUGCGAUUUCAGCACCGAGCUCAAUGUGAUGGCCUGUCUUGUCAUUGGGUGCUCCAUCUGCUCCUAGAGCAAACAUGCCUCCAGCAAAACAAGUGAGAUGUCCCAUCUUAUGUUCAAGCAGUCCACCCUUCCACUCAGCGAUGUAUGUCAGCCCCCCGCUUGAUUUUCGAAUAAGGAACCUUCUUCAUAAACAGUAUUUUGACAAUUAGAAGCAACAGUGAGUAUGAAACAGAAUUCUAUCACGUGAUAUUUCCAGUAAUUCAAAGAUGUAUAAUGUCAAUUGUUCAUUUAUUUUAGUGUUUAAGGCUUGCACCAAUACAUUUUAUUGCUUUGAAACUGCACACAGCAGGCGGGUCAGGAUUACUGUGGUUUUGCAUGCUGUUGAGUUUAUAAGUCAAUUGCCUGUUUUCUUGACUUUAAGUUACUUCCUUCAUGUUUUCUCUGUUGAUCUAAUGCAGUAGACACUUUUUUCAGCAAUGUUAAUAAUUCAUCAAAUUUAUACUUUUAUCCAAAAUUCCUAUGAGUUUAUUAUGCAUUUGCAUUACUGCAGCUCUUUUGGAGAUGGCAGAAAAACAUUGUGCUUUUUUUUUUUUUUUAAACCUUAUGAAUUGAUUUUGUUUUCUUAAAUAUUGUUCAUACAGGUUUUAAAUAUGUAUUCCAAGAUGUCUGAAUUAUGUGAAAGCAUACAGCCAGAAAACCUAGGAUUAAAUAGGAAGUUCAAGCCCCUGUUACAAUUUAUUUAAAUACUGCUGCUAAGGAAAAGAGGCGUCUUGUUAUCCCAAGGUCCUCUCUGCUUACUAACUUUAAAAAUCAAGCCUGAGAUUUGGACACAGAAGAGCUUUCAUUUGUUUAAAUACAGUAUAUAAGAAACAUUUUGAAAGCAAUACGGCGCUUUCUGAAGUCUUUUACUUCUUUUACAUUUUUUUACUGAAGAUGUGUUAUACAGAUAAGCUUACACAUGAAAUGAAAUAUGAAUGCUUAUAAUGGAGAUACCUAAAUUUUUGAAAUGGAAACACUGGCAAACAUCUACUACUGUGCUGUCUAUCCAUCUGAUCACUAAAAAGAUAAUUAAGUUUUAGGGGAAAACUGAUAAUUUACUUUUGUCUGAAAAUCUAAUUAUGUUUUGGGUUGGUUUUUUUUCCCUAUAUAGAUCAGCUAGUGUCCCUAAGAGCACCAGUGCUCUUACACUAAAUGUACUUAAUGCUGCUUUUGCUACCAGAAGGCUGCAUUUACUCAUGUUCUUAAAAUAGUAUUAAUGGAAUGGCAUGAAUCAAAGCAAGUCACUCUCAAAAUGUUGCAUUUUAUAUUUUCUGAAUAUUCUAGAAUAUGUAUCUAUUGCUCCUGACAAAUUCUUUUGCUGUCAAAAAAAGGAAAUGAAAAUAGCACAAGCAGUAAGGACAAGACUGCUGUGACAACAAUAGCAAAGCCAAGAGCAAAAAGGGGACAAUUUCUCUCACAGGACUCUUCUAGUUCAAAUUAUCCUUAAAGAGAUCUAACAAUUUCUGCUGCUUCUCCUGACAGCCCAUAAACAGGCAAACAUUUUAAUAAAUACUUUCUAUAGUCCAAAACAUAGGCAUUGUGCAGUUAUAAAUAUAUUAUUAACGAUUUAAAAAUCUGCAGAAGCCUGUCUUUAAUCUUGAUGCUUUCUGUAAGCAGUUGUGAAAAGCCUCAAAACUCCUCUGAAGAGGGGAAAUAUAGUAAAGAGAAUAAAAAGGAGCAGUGAAUCCUCUGGAUGUUCCCAUCUGCUAAAUGUAAUGAACUUUGUGUUCCUUCAUAAUACAGCUAUACUAUUGCUACAUGCAGAACACCAGUGCAGCUGGGUGAUAAAUACUUUAAACAUGACAGCUGACAAAAUAUGUAAAUAAACUGCCUGUUUAUUAAUUUUUACACACUGAAGUUAUAGACGAUACCUCUCCCCCUUGAAAAAAAAAAUGUACACAGUGGGAAUGCUGGGUUCCCUGUACCAAGUGUUUCAACCUGAAGAUGGGCUCCUAUUGCACCACCCUGCCUGCCCUAUAUAUAUAUUUCCUUCAAUGCCAAGAAGUGCUAAAGUACUGAAUGUUCUGUUCAUUAACAUACUUUUAGCUUUACCCAGUGUGACCAACUGUUCUAAUUGAGUUGUUGCAGUUCUGUCAUUGUCCACAUCAGUUAUGUACCUUUUAAGAUCACUACGAUCACAAAGCAAACAACUUCAAGCAACUUAAUGGAAACUGCAAUCAGCAGAGCAGCCACCAGGCUGUCACCACAGUUAAAUAGACACUCCUGAAACUCUGGAGAUGAAAAGAGCCUAUGUGCCAAUACCAUGUUUUCAAUUUGCUAACAACACUUUGUUGUCUCCCUCAUUUCAAUGAGAAAAGAGUCUACAUGGAUUUCUUUUAUUUAUCUGAAAGGCUGAAAUCUUGACAGGUCUGAAAAAUAUUCACUACUUAAUGCUGACAAAUAUACACCACACCCUUGCCCCCCAAACCAAAACCAUAUAGCUUCCUUUGGCAGAGUACAAACUGAGUAUAAUAAGGCUAGUCUCAAAGUUAGCAGUGUGCAAAAAAAAAAAAUUAUAAGUGAUGAUAUAAAUAUUAUAUAAAAAAUAUACAGUGAUCCUCUAUACUUUCUGUCUGAAUACUCAAAAUCCUGAGGCCAAAAAUGACUUUCUCGCCUUUUGAUACCCACAAAAGGUUACUGCAUUCCUUAAUCGCACAAUCCAGCCUAGCAGGAGCCUGACUUUCAGGAGUGCUGUCGGAAUCUGUCAGAGAACAGCCGUGGCACUGCUUCACAACAUCUAUUCUUCUUUUUGAUAUUUCUACCAUUCCUACUUCCACAUGCUAGGUUCUCCAGAGAUCACUACUCUUCUUGUUGCAAUCUUCUAAGCAGCUGUCACCCACGAUGAAAAAUUAAACUAUCUAAAUGUCUAAAAAUAAACUAUCCUGGCUUAAGAUAAAGCUGCGCCUCACAGCGGCUUUACCUCUCUGAUACCACAGGGAUGCACUGAACCAAGCUGCUUGGGAAGUGCUGGCGAGGGAUUCUCCCUCCUCCUGUGAAGUUCUUCUGGGCUGAGUAACUGCUCUCUUUACAGCCUUUAGAUAUGCCCCUUCUCUAGAAAUACACUGAGGAGGGGAUGAAAGCAGCAUCAGAGAGAAAGAAAGUAUUUAAGAUGCUUAAAGCUUGCAGCAAUGGCCAUAAAGAAAUAUAAUGGGAAAAUCUGGAAAAGAUACAUGAUCAUCAGACAUCAAGAGUGAGACAACCUAUUAACAAGAACAGCUGCAAAAUUGCCCUUCAACUUAGAAAAUGAGUUCUGACAUGCAAGAGGGGAGGAUUUGAUGCAGUUGCUUGUGACACUGCUGUUGCUAGACUAUAUGUAAGUGAACCCACAAGAUCCACUUUUUUUCUAAAUUAUCAUGCUCUCUUACUGAACCUACUCAAUUGCGUCUCAGAGAUCAACUGUGUUAACUGAAAAGAAUGGGAUGGCUCCUGUCCUGGAUAUUUGCAAAGACUGACAGAUUGCUCUGUGGGCAGUUACAUGCUCAAAAUACGAAUAAAAGCUGAAUACACAUUUGUUUUGUAACUAAAUGUUGCAUGCUACCCAUUGAACCCAAUUUAAGAAGAACUCUUCCUGUAUUAUAUGAAACAGGACAUUAUAUGCAUUGCUUUUCAAAAAAGCAAAAUAAGUUACAUUAAAAAUACAUUCACUUGU